rnacentral:tRNA from 1 species
GGCUUAUUAGCUCAGUUGGUUAUAGCGUCGUUAUAAUAACCUUAAGGUCGCAGGUUCGAGACCUGCAUGGGCCA